CUUUUCGGUCUCCGAAUGCUCUNAGAUUAGNAGUUGAUCAUGGCUCAGAGUGAACGCUGGCGGUAGGCCUAACACAUGCAAGUCGAACGGCAGCACAGGAGAGCUUGCUCUCUGGGUGGCGAGUGGCGGACGGGUGAGGAAUACAUCGGAAUCUACUUUUUCGUGGGGGAUAACGUAGGGAAACUUACGCUAAUACCGCAUACGACCUACGGGUGAAAGCAGGGGAUCUUCGGACCUUGCGCGAUUGAAUGAGCCGAUGUCGGAUUAGCUAGUUGGCGGGGUAAAGGCCCACCAAGGCGACGAUCCGUAGCUGGUCUGAGAGGAUGAUCAGCCACACUGGAACUGAGACACGGUCCAGACUCCUACGGGAGUGCAGCAGUGGGGAAUAUUGGACAAUGGGCGCAAGCCUGAUCCAGCCAUACCGCGUGGGUGAAGAAGGCCUUCGGGUUGUAAAGCCCUUUUGUUGGGAAAGAAAUCCAGCUGGCUAAUACCCGGUUGGGAUGACGGUACCCAAAGAAUAAGCACCGGCUAACUUCGUGCCAGCAGCCGCGGUAAUACGAAGGGUGCAAGCGUUACUCGGAAUUACUGGAUCGGAUCCCGGGGCCGUCGAACUGCNAGGCUGUUGC
rnacentral:rRNA from 1 species